rfam:Streptomyces thermolilacinus SPC6 TNC:Contig_1, whole genome shotgun sequence.
CGAAUCCGUGCGGGAGAGUUCCGGGCCGUGCCGGCCCGGGCGCCGAAGGAGCAAGUUCCUCCCUUGAAUCUCUCAGGCCCCGCACCGCACGUGAUGA